rnacentral:rRNA from 1 species
GCAGUCGACGGACUUACAUUGAAGCCUAGCGAUAUGUAAGUUAGUGGCGGACGGGUGAGUAACGCGUGGGUAACCUGCCUUGUACUGGGGGACAACAGUUGGAAACGACUGCUAAUACCGCAUAAGCGCACAGCUUCGCAUGAAGCAGUGUGAAAAACUCCGGUGGUACAAGAUGGACCCGCGUCUGAUUAGCUGGUUGGUGAGGUAACGGCCCACCAAGGCAACGAUCAGUAGCCGGCCUGAGAGGGUGAACGGCCACAUUGGGACUGAGACACGGCCCAAACUCCUACGGGAGGCAGCAGUGGGGAAUAUUGCACAAUGGGGGAAACCCUGAUGCAGCAACGCCGCGUGAGUGAAGAAGUAUUUCGGUAUGUAAAGCUCUAUCAGCAGGAAAGAAAAUGACGGUACCUGACUA